rnacentral:rRNA from 1 species
CGAGCGAAGCGCUUAAGUCAGAAUCUUCGGAGGAAGACUUUUGUGACUGAGCGGCGGACGGGUGAGUAACGCGUGGGUAACCUGCCUUACACAGGGGGAUAACAGUUAGAAAUGACUGCUAAUACCGCAUAAGACCACAGUACUGCAUGGUACAGUGGUAAAAACUGAGGUGGUGUAAGAUGGACCCGCGUCUGAUUAGGUAGUUGGUGGGGUAACGGCCCACCAAGCCGACGAUCAGUAGCCGGCCUGAGAGGGUGGACGGCCACAUUGGGACUGAGACACGGCCCAGACUCCUACGGGAGGCAGCAGUGGGGAAUAUUGCACAAUGGGGGAAACCCUGAUGCAGCGACGCCGCGUGAGCGAUGAAGUAUUUCGGUAUGUAAAGCUCUAUCAGCAGGGAAGAAAAUGACGGUACCUGACUAAGAAGCCCCGGCUAACUACGCGCCAGCAGCCGCGGUAACACGUAGGGGGCGAGCGUUAUCCGGAUUUACUGGGUGUAAAGGGAGCGUAGACGGCAUGGCAAGCCAGAUGUGAAAUACCGGGGCUCAACCCCGGGACUGCAUUUGGAACUGUUAAGCUGGAGUGUCGGAGAGGCAGGCGGAAUUCCUAGUGUAGCGGUGAAAUGCGUAGAUAUUAGGAGGAACACCAGUGGCGAAGGCGGCCUGCUGGACGAUGACUGACGUUGAGGCUCGAAAGCGUGGGGAGC